AGUUUUAUUCUUGCUUCUUCAUUCAUUUUUUGCUUGUUCUAUAUGUAAGUUUUUGCGUGAUUUUGAUUACUUAGGGUUCUAGAUGGAUUAUGUAAGGGUUGAUUUUUUGAUUAGGUGUCUUAUUCUCAUUAGUUGUUAUUGGUUGGUCAAGUGUUCUUGUAUUUAGCAAUGUAUUUUAGUUUCGGUUAAAUUUUGUGCCAGCAGCCGCGGUUAUACUUUGGGGGCAUUUGAAUGUGUUUGGUAUAAGGUAGUUAUAUUUAUUUUGGUUGAUUGUGUUCUUGUUGUUUUUUGGGUGAAAUUUUUAUUGUUUUGUUUUUUCUUAUUUAUGUUUGGAGGCUAUGAAAUUUUAUUUUUAAACUAGGAUUAGAUACCCUAUUAUUUUAGAACGUUAAGGUUUGUGCUUGAGUAGUAUUAGUUAUGUUCUUGAAACUUAAAGAAUUUGGCGGUAUCUCAUUCCGUUCAGAGGAAUCUGUCUCGUUAUCGAUAGUCCGCGUUGGACCUUACUUGGUUUGGUGUUAAAUAGGGUUUGUAUACCGCCGUUUAUUGAUUAUCUUUUUAGAGUUUAUUUAAUUUUCUAGUUUCUCUAUUUGGAUUUAUUUCAGGUCAAGGUGCAGCUUGUUUCUAAGUGGAUGAUGGAUUACAUUUUUAUUUGUUUUGUUGGAUUGUUGAUUUUAAUAUUAGCAUGAAAUUGGAUUUGGUUGUAAUGAUUUGUAGAUUGUUAUUGUGAUAAUUGGUUCUGGGAUAUGUACACAUCGCCCGUCGCUCUCGUUUAAUUGUUAAUGAGAUAAGUCGUAACAAAGUGGUUGUACCGGAAGGUGCGGCUGGGUUGA
rnacentral:ncRNA from 1 species